GAUGAACGCUGGCGGCGUGCCUAAUACAUGCAAGUCGAGCGAACAGAUAAGGAGCUUGCUCCUUUGACGUUAGCGGCGGACGGGUGAGUAACACGUGGGUAACCUACCUAUAAGACUGGGAUAACUUCGGGAAACCGGAGCUAAUACCGGAUAACAUUUGGAACCGCAUGGUUCUAAAGUGAAAUAUGGUUUUGCUAUCACUUAUAGAUGGACCCGCGCCGUAUUAGCUAGUUGGUAAGGUAACGGCCUAUCAAGGCGACGAGACGUAGCCGACCUGAGAGAGGGAUCGCCCACACGAGAACGUGGACACGGUCCAGACGCCUGAGGGAGGCAGCAGUAGGGAAUCGUACGCAGUGGGCGAAAGCCUGACGGAGCAACGGGGCGUGAGAGAUGGAGGGUUUGGGUGCGUAAAACUCUGUUAUUAGGGAAGAACAAAUGUGGAAGGAACUGUGCACGUCUUGACGGUACCUAAUCAGAAAGCCACGGCUAACUACGUG
rnacentral:rRNA from 1 species